CCUACGGGAGGCAGCAGUGAGGAAUAUUGGUCAAUGGGCGAGAGCCUGAACCAGCCAAGUCGCGUGAGGGAGUACUGCCCUAUGGGUUGUAAACCUCUUUUGUCGGGGAGCACAAGCCGGACGUGUCCGGCUGUGAGAGUACCCGAAGAAAAAGCAUCGGCUAACUCCGUGCCAGCAGCCGCGGUAAUACGGAGGAUGCGAGCGUUAUCCGGAUUUAUUGGGUUUAAAGGGUGCGCAGGCGGAUUUUUAAGUCAGCGGUAAAAUCGUGGGGCUCAACCCCAUCCAGCCGUUGAAACUGGGGAUCUAGAGUGUGCGAGAGGUAUGCGGAAUGCGUGGUGUAGCGGUGAAAUGCAUAGAUAUCACGCAGAACCCCGAUUGCGAAGGCAGCAUACCGGUGCACAACUGACGCUCAGGCACGAAAGCGUGGGUAUCGAACAGGAUUAGAUACCCUUGUAGUC
rnacentral:rRNA from 1 species